rnacentral:rRNA from 1 species
GACGAACGCUGGCGGCGUGCUUAACACAUGCAAGUCGAACGCUGAAGCUUGGUGCUUGCACUGGGUGGAUGAGUGGCGAACGGGUGAGUAAUACGUGAGUAACCUGCCCUUGACUCUGGGAUAAGCCUGGGAAACUGGGUCUAAUACUGGAUACGACAUGUCACCGCAUGGUGGUGUGUGGAAAGGGUUUUACUGGUUUUGGAUGGGCUCACGGCCUAUCAGCUUGUUGGUGGGGUAAUGGCUCACCAAGGCGACGACGGGUAGCCGGCCUGAGAGGGUGACCGGCCACACUGGGACUGAGACACGGCCCAGACUCCUACGGGAGGCAGCAGUGGGGAAUAUUGCACAAUGGGCGGAAGCCUGAUGCAGCGACGCCGCGUGAGGGAUGACGGCCUUCGGGUUGUAAACCUCUUUCGGCACGGAAGAAGCGAAAGUGACGGUACGUGCAGAAGAAGCGCCGGCUAACUACGU